GAAGAAGGCAGUGUUGCGAUUCAGCAGGCAAGAUAAGGAUCACAUGUCCAAACCUUUCUUUGGAGACUGAAGGGAUAAAAGCUAGAUUUCUGUGUUCCUUUCACUGAAAUCCAGAUGGAUCCAAAAUUGAAAGGCAAACCACGAAGACAUGAAGCACUCCACGAAAAAAAAAAAUGGUGAAUCAAAGCAUGCACUUAAAAGAAAACAAAACCAAACCAAACACGAACUUAGAAGUUGGUGGAAUCUUUUUCUAAGCAGAAAACAGAACUCAGAAACUAUGAGGGGCAAACUUGAUACAUUUGAAUUUUAAAGCUUGGAUGCAAUCAAAGAAUCAAGAAGUCUAAAAUGCUGACUGACAGACUGAAUGCAUAGAUUGGAAAUCAUUCCACUGAUGUGUUUUUUCUUCCUUCCUCCAUUUCCAAAACGUAUUCAUUCCUGUUUUUUUUUUUUUUUUUUAACAUUUUCAUGGUUGUUAAAUGAGCUGGUCUCAACUUGCUUUUCAACAAUGUCCCAGCUCUGGUAAC
rnacentral:lncRNA from 1 species